rnacentral:rRNA from 1 species
UACGGAGGGUGCUAGCGUUGUUCGGAAUCACUGGGCGUAAAGGGCGUGUAGGCGGUCUGUUAAGUCUGAUGUGAAAUCCCCUCGCUCAACGAGGGAACUGCGUCGGAUACUGGCAGACUCGAGUACCGGAGAGGAAGGUGGAAUUCCCGGUGUAGCGGUGAAAUGCGUAGAUAUCUGGAGGAACACCGGUGGCGAAGGCGGCAUUCUGGACUGCAACUGACACUGAAGAACGAAAGCCAGGGGAGCAAACGGG